rnacentral:rRNA from 1 species
AACGAACGCUGGCGGCAGGCUUAACACAUGCAAGUCGAACUAGAUCUCCGGAUCUAGUGGCAGACGGGUGAGGAACACGUGGGAACAUCCCUUUCAGUUCGGAAUAACGUUGGGAAACUAACGCUAAUACCGGAUACGUCCUUCGGGAGAAAGAUUUAUCGCUGAAAGAUUGGCCCGCGUCUGAUUAGCUAGUUGGUGAGGUAAUGGCUCACCAAGGCUACGAUCAGUAGCUGAUCUGAGAGGAUGAUCAGCCACAUUGGGACUGAGACACGGCGCAAACUCCUACGGGAGGCAGCAGGGGGGUAUAUGGGACAAUGGGCGCAAGCGUGAUCCAGCCAUGCCGCGUGAGUGAUGACGGCCUUCGGGUUGUAAAGCUCUUUUGUCUGGGAAGAUAAUGACUGUACCGGAAGAAUGAGCCCCGGCAAACUUCGUGCCAGGCGCCGCCGUAA